GAUGAACGCUAGCUACAGGCUUAACACAUGCAAGUCGAGGGACCGGCGCACGGGUGAGUAACACGUAACCAACCUGCCCUUUACUCGGGGAUAGCCUUUCGAAAGAAAGAUUAAUACCCGAUAUAAAGGAUGGGGAUGCGUUCCCUUAGGUUGUUGGUGAGGUAACUGCUCACCAAGCAUUCGAUGGAUAGGGGUUCUGAGAGGAAGGUCCACCACAUUGGAACUGAGACACGGUCCAAAUGUCUACGGGAGGCAGGAGUGAGGAAGAUGGGGCAAUGGGCGCUAGCAUGAACCAGCCAAGUAGCGUUAAGGAUUAAGGCUUAUGGGUCGUAAACUUCUUUUAUAUAAGAAUAUGUAUUAUAUGAAUAAGGAUCGGCUAACUCCGUGCCAGCAGCCGCGGUAAUAC
rnacentral:rRNA from 1 species